GACGAACGCUGGCGGCGUGCUUAACACAUGCAAGUCGAACGGAAAGGCCUCAGCUUGCUGGGGUACUCGAGUGGCGAACGGGUGAGUAACACGUGGGUGAUCUGCCUUGCACUCUGGGAUAAGCUUGGGAAACUGGGUCUAAUACCGGAUAUGAACUGCCUUUAGUGUGGUGGUUGGAAAGUUUUUUCGGUGCAAGAUGAGCUCGCGGCCUAUCAGCUUGUUGGUGGGGUAAUGGCCUACCAAGGCGUCGACGGGUAGCCGGCCUGAGAGGGUGUACGGCCACAUUGGGACUGAGAUACGGCCCAGACUCCUACGGGGGUCAGGAGUGGGGAAUAUUGCACAAUGGGCGGAAGCCUGAUGCAGCGACGCCGCGUGGGGGAUGACGGCCUUCGGGUUGUAAACUCCUUUCGACAGGGACGAAGCUUUUUGUGACGGUACCUGUAUAAGAAGCACCGGCUAACUACGUG
rnacentral:rRNA from 1 species